AUUGAACGCUGGCGGCAGGCUUAACACAUGCAAGUCGAGCGGGGUGAUGGUGCUUGCACUAUCACUUAGCGGCGGACGGGUGAGUAAUGCUUAGGAAUCUGCCUAUUAGUGGGGGACAACAUCUCGAAAGGGAUGCUAAUACCGCAUACGUCCUACGGGAGAAAGCAGGGGAUCACUUGUGACCUUGCGCUAAUAGAUGAGCCUAAGUCGGAUUAGCUAGUUGGUGGGGUAAAGGCCUACCAAGGCGACGAUCUGUAGCGGGUCUGAGAGGAUGAUCCGCCACACUGGGACUGAGACACGGCCCAGACUCCUACGGGAGGCAGCAGUGGGGAAUAUUGGACUAUGGGGGGAACCCUGAUCCAGCCAUGCCGCGUGUGUGAAGAAGGCCUUAUGGUUGUAAAGCACUUUAAGCGAGGAGGAGGCUCUUUUGGUUAAUACCCAAGAUGAGUGGGCGUUACUCGCAGAAUAAGCACCGGCUAACUCUGUGCCAGCCGCCGCGGUAA
rnacentral:rRNA from 1 species